CCGGAAGGGGCAGGUCUUGUAGGCGAGUCCAAUCGGCUAGGAGCCUCGUGGAGGCUGAGAUUGCCUCACCUGUGACAUCAGACAUCAUAACAUGGGGCUCACCAAGCAGUACCUACGCUAUGUUGCUAGUGCGGUCUUUGGCGUUAUCGGCAGCCAAAAAGAUUCUUAUCCUUCAGGGGCUUAAACAAGAAGUUACUUGCUUAUGCCCCUCCCCAGAUGGGCUGCACUUAGCUGUUGGGUAUGAGGAUGGGUCAAUCCGAAUCUUCAGUCUCCUGAGUGGGGAAGGAAAUGUGACCUUCAAUGGUCACAAAGCAGCUAUCACUACCUUGAAGUAUGAUCAGCUAGGAGGCAGACUGGCAUCUGGGUCCAAGGACACAGAUAUUAUUGUAUGGGAUGUGAUCAAUGAAAGUGGUCUGUACCGUCUAAAGGGGCACAAGGAUGCCAUCACACAAGCGUUGUUUCUACGAGAAAAGAACCUGCUAGUUACUAGUGGGAAAGAUACCAUGGUGAAAUGGUGGGACCUUGAUACUCAGCACUGCUUUAAAACAAUGGUUGGCCACCGGACUGAG
rnacentral:sRNA from 1 species